rnacentral:rRNA from 1 species
GACGAACCGAGCGAACGUUGUUCGGAAUCACUGGGCUUAAAGGGCGCGUAGGCGGGCGGUCAAGUCAGGGGUGAAAGCCUCCAGCUCAACUGGAGAAGUGCCUCUGAUACUGAUCGUCUCGAGGGGGAUAGGGGCGUGCGGAACUUCCGGUGGAGCGGUGAAAUGCGUAGAUAUCGGAAGGAACACCGGUGGCGAAAGCGGCGCGCUGGAUCCCUUCUGACGCUGAGGCGCGAAAGCCAGGGGAGCAAACGGG